UCCAUGUUUGAUGAGUACGAUGCUAUAGUCAUAAGUGGUACUUUCGAUAUUAAACCAAGACCUGAGAAUUCUAACAUACUAAAGGAGAUUUCUCUCCCUUCUCAGACCUCCACGUCAUCAUUAUGCCGAAAUUUUCAGAAACUAGAUCGACUUUCAUCUCCCUGUAAUGUAAUUGAGAUGCUUAACUCAACCGAGCUUUUAUGUGAUUAUUCAAUCGACCUCUUCUUCGCAUCCCACAGUACGUGAACUUAACCGACUAUUUUUUCAUUGUCAAACUCUAGGCGUUUCGCUUCUUCUCCUUCUAGAUUCGUCUGAGAAACAAACAUAUCCAGUUAUGUCAUUCAAUCCACCACGCCUAAUACUUAAGCUUCAAUUCCUAGAAGAUUCAGUGAAUUAGUAUAUAUACGAUGGUGAUGAAGAAGGCGUAUGCGGCUCGCUUGCAAUCCCGGUAGAUUAAAAAUAUCAUCCAUUACAGAAAGAAGGAUGAUGAAUUCUAGAGCUGCGGAAUCACUGUUCUUUUUACGCUCAGAGGCGGUGACACCAAUGACCGCCACAAUCAGGAACCUCUAGCAAGAGGUUAAGAGCUUCCAUGGUAGCUUUUCCUCUAGUCUCAAAACCGCCGUAAAUGGACCGCGCCGAUUGUAUCUUAAGUGGUUCUUUUAUAUGCAUAAACCAAAAGCAUUGAUACUGACUUCACAAGAGAAGACAUGAAGAACUGUUACCAUCAUCUCCAGAGGAUCCAAGACUCUGUUACCAUCAUCUCUAACAGUCUCAUAAUGCAUUCAAACUAGAGUAAGCUCCAGUGAAGCCACCAAUGUGCUAAAAUGCUUCUUAAAAUAGUGAGGUACACUCUUGAAAAAUUGCAAGCGUGUCUAGAUAUUAAAGUCCAUUGUUAUGUGAGUGAGGACACUGAUUUCUUUUCUUUUUUCUAAUGGUCCAGGAACAUCAUUGAGCAACCAAGUGAAGGGAAAUACAAAACACAUAGAAACUGACUUCAACAUAUUUACUGUAAAUCUAAAACAAGUAGAAAUCAAAAUCUACACAUUACUAUAAUUCUAAAAACUUGUAGAAACUGAUUUCUACAGAUUAACUGUAUUCUACGGAUAAGAAAUCAAUUCCUAAAAGUAUGGAAACAAAAUAUUUUUGGAAUAUUCACUUUCAUAUUUUUGAAACAAUCGAUUUUAAGAAAAAAAAACAAAAAAAAAAACAAAAACAAAACGUGGUAACCUUCUUCUCACGCUGUUUUCUAUAUUCCAUUGAUUGUUCAUAAAAAUUUCACGAAAUUUUACAUUAUUUCUACUAAAUCAGUGUGAAAUUGAGUGAUUUAGGGUUUAUGAACUUGAGACUUUGAUUUUCUCCCCCUUUGUUUGUGAAGGAGAUGAGAAAUUAUGGGUUUCAUCCCAAAGAAAUCAAGUUUAAAGAGUUGAAAUCGUGUUUGAUCGGUUCAAAUCAAGUGGGAAUCAAACCGGAUAUAACCGAAGAAAAUCAGGAAAUCGAUUUGGAAUACUUACUUGGGCACGAGAUCGAUCGGUCUAUAAUUCGAGAUUGAUCGAUCUGUAUGAAAUCGAUAUUUGCCGAUCGAGUGAAAUGGACCAGGUCGAUCAGUAUAUGCUCCGCGUUUUUUUGUUAUGCAUAAUGAUCAUGAUCGAUCGAUCUGUUUGACCUUGUAAUUUCGGAUAGAUCGAUCCCGCUUGAUCGAACCAAUUAUUUAUUAUAUUUAAAAAUUACAAUUUUAAGGGUAUUAUUGCCAUUUUGAAAAUAAUUAGCCUAAUGAGACAUAAAGUAUAUGAGAUUAAUUUAAAAGGACAUAAUUAUCCUUUUUUUGCUCUAAAAAAUAAUUUUCCCAAUAAAUUUUAGUUAGGUUUUAUAUCAAUUUUGAUUAGGAUUUUCCAGGUAUGUACUUAUCACUCUUAUUACAAGAACUCUCAAAUAUCAAUAUCUUAAUUCAGCCUAGUUCACCGCAAUUUACACAAAAUCUGUAUGCUUAUGAACUCAAUGCGUACAACUGUGUUCAUAAUUUUACUUGUUUUUAAUACGUGAACUCGAGUUUUAUAGUUACAAAAAAAAUUAGAGUGAAGAUUUGUUAUUAUUAUUAUUGUUAUUAUUAUUAUUAUUAUUAUAGGUUGGGUUGAUACUUGAUAGUUGAUAGGGACAGCGAGAAGGGAAAAUGAGAAAUGAUUGAUUACCGUAAGAAAAAAAAAUUAAAGCAGCUUUGAUGUGGUGUUGAUUUGGAUAAAAGGGAAGUUUGUUUGUGUACGUGUAUGUGUAUGUGCACACAACAUAAAAAACACUAGGCGGUUGCAAAAAAAAAAAAAAAAAAAAAAAAAAACACUAGGCAUGGUACGGAUCGGAUAUCCGGGUUUUUGAAAAUAUUUGUGAUUUGUUUUGUAUGUCACAGAUAUCUAAUUUUUCGAUUUGCUUUGCUUCAGAAAAAUAUGGAUAUUCGGGAAAACGGAUAUCCGGAAAAUAAAUAUAUAUUUGCGGAUAUUUACGAAUAUUUACGGAUAUCUCAUAUGUUUUGAUUAAUACAGAUAAUCUUAAAAGCUUAUACAAAUUUGUUUUGUAAAAUCUUUUUUUUUGCAUGAUAUAUAUGAUAAAAAUUAAAAGAAGUAGUAAAUCUACAUAUUUUGUAAAUUUUUUGAACUUAGUUAACAAUUAUAAUAACACAAAACUUAAAAAAAACAUUAUAAUUGUCAUAAAUGUGUUUUUUCCUUUUAUGUAAUACUUUUAUAUAAGUAAUAAUGUGAAUAGAAUUUAUCAAAUCAUAUGUUAGAAUAAUAAUUAUAUAAUUUUAUACAAUAAAAACUUUAAAUAUAAUCAAGAUAUACUUGUAUUUAUAUAUUGUCGGAUCGGAUCGAAUAUCCGCUUCCCAAAAUUUUAAUAUUUGUAGUUUGCUUCAAUUUUGACGGAUAUUAAUUUUUAAUAUUUGCUUUGAUUCGAAAGUUUAUGGAUAUCCAGAAUUUUCAGAUCGAAUCGAAUCAAAUUUAACGGAUAAAAUGUCCAACCCUACAAAACCCCUUUUCAUAUUAUCCCAUCGCAAAGCAUUGAUCUGUCUUCUGUUAUAUUAUUGAUGUUGACCAUUUAUCAUUCCAAAUAAAGACCCCUGAUUUUGAAAUAUGUUACUGAUUUUAGUUGGAAAGUAUAAAACUGGCGGAUUUUUGUAAUAUUUUCUGAACCUUACAUAUGCUUUUGUGGAAAUAUUCAAUAAAUAAACUUUGAACUUUUAUGUUUUUCAGUUUGUCACCAACUUUUAAUUUUUUCUAAAGGAUCCCUUAAAAAUUUUAAAACCACUAAAUAUGUUUUUUUUAAUUAAAGAUAUUUUUGACAGAUAUUUUUAAAAGAUAUUUUUUGGUCACCAACUUUUAUAUUUUCAGCUUGCUCAUAUUGGUGUUUUUACUGGUAUUAGUUAAAGAUUUAUUGGUUAGAAAAUACAAUAAUGCAGUUUAAACAUUUUUAACAAUCUAUUCUAUUAAAAGGGAAGCAGUCUUAAUAAAUCUACUUAUAAAGGUUGUUUGGACCCUUUCAUUUAACUAAUAGUAUUAAAUAUAGAUGGUUUACCUUAUAUUUUGCCUACCAAUAUCUUACCAUAUUUUACUCGGUCAAAAUGUAUUGUCCUUUUACUCAUUAGACUAGGUAAAGACCUGCGCCUUGCGCAGGAUGAUACUUUUAGGUAUAUAAUUAAAUUUGCCAUACAUUUUCGGAAGCUUUGAGUUAUGAAUUAUAUUUUAGUAUCACAUUGUGGGACUAUACAUUGAUAUAGACCAUGAUUUGUGCGAAAUUAAUUAGGUUCAGAAGAAAUAAUAAGAUGAUAAGCUGAAAAACUAAUGGUCUGGUUUUAUCUAUGUCAAAAAUAAAUAAAUAGUGACUCUAUUUUAUCUAACUCAUUUGUCGACAGUAUCAACAAACUUGUUUCAUCUUCAAUAUUGAGUUGAAAAGAGUUAAAAAAAUUUCGGCUAAACGAAACAUGCUCCCUUUAGACAAAUUCUCGAGAUUCUUAUCCAACCAAUAAUUUUUCCUUUCUAUCUCCUCCUCUGAGAUUUUUAUCCAAUUCAGAUUCCUAUCAAACCAAUUUAUGUUUUAAAUUAUCUGUGCAUGUCCUUCUCUUCACUUCGUGAUCCAUAUAGAAUAGUUGUAAUCUGUAGUUUCAAUAAUAGACGAUUUCAAAACAUCGUGAUCUGGAAGCAGAACUGAUUUCUUUCAAUGAAACGUAACAGAAGAGAAAACGUAUGAGUGCACUGAGAUUGUUAGAAGUUUGAACUAAUAGCUUCUCCAAACAAUAUUCAAAAUCAGUUAAGGUAAUAUUUGAUUUUCUUUCACAUUAUUUUCUCCUAAUAAACUAAAUUAUCUCAUACUCCUUAAAAUAAAAACCAGUAAAUAUAAUAUUAUAGUUAUGGGUAAAAUAUUUACAUUGUAUUCGAAAUUGCCCUAGGUGUGAAUUAGAUGGUAAAUCUACGCCUAGCGAGUUACGAAAUAAUCAGAAAUAAAUUAAAGAGUUUUCGGAUAAUAAUUUAUGAAUGAAUUGAUGUAUUUUCAUAUAUUUAUAAAUAAAAGAUCAAAAAUAAAACUAUUGAACCAAUUUUACUGUAAUUUAAAUAAUAUAAUAUUCCAUUAUAAGAAUAAUACAUGCAAAUGACAUUAACAUAUUAAUAAAUGUAUGAAAAACUAUUAGUACAGUUUAAUUAUUUAAUUGGGCCGCUAACAAUUGCUCAGUUGGGCUUAUAGAAAAGAACUGAAAAAAGUUUUUAGUAGCACGUGAUCUUCUUCUUCCUUGCUGAUUAAACAUCAUUACAUAUUCUCUUUUGCUUUUUUAUCUGCAAAUCGAAUCUCAGAAACUGAAAUUAGCACAUUGAAGAGGAAAAGUUUCGAAAUUAAACUCAGGCUUUGAAUAAUGAACACUUACAUAGGAGAUCAGUUGACAUACUCAAGGUCCCUUAGUUCAUACACCUAAUUUUCUCUGAUUCAUGAAGCUCAAAAUUUCCAGAAUUGCUUGGGGAUUGAGGAAAAUCAAACCUGGGUUUCAAAAGACGACAAUGAACAGCAACAUCAAUCCGCCGGAGACAUAAACAUUAGUUCUUGGAUCGAGAAAAAACAUAGAAAAUCUACUUUUUCCAGGAAAUAAUUAAGAGUGAAAAUUUUAUUUUCUCUUCUCCACUAAAUGACAACCUCGUGUGAAAAGUUGAUACUCUACCUAAACAGAUAGCGAAGACUUGUGCACAUAAACAGAUAGCGAAGACUUGUGCACAUUGUUUUGCGAUCAUGUUUUUCAAAAGAACGAUCUUAUGUUAUAAGUUUAUAACACACUAACAAAAAUAUGUAAUUAUGAGUCUCAAUGGCAAUUGUUGUAAAUUCUCUAGUAAUUAAAGGUGUUUUAAUUAAGAUUGCUCAGGAGAGCUGUGGUGUUGCCACGUAUGCAAAAUGGCAAAUUUGUUAUUAAUUUACUAAAUCAAGGUUACUCAUUAAAAAUGUUUCUUGAUUAAUAAGAAAGGGAUGUCGCAUAUGUUUUAAUAUUCUCUAAUUACAUCGCAUGUGGUUUAAAGUGGUUUAAUGUCGGUCCUAUAAUUUAAUGGUUAAACAAUUUGAAAAUCCUUAACGUGGUGUACCUACCGGACUUAUAUAUUAAUGGUUUAACAAUAUGAAAAUCCUCUUUCAAUGUUUUCACUCAUUCAUAUUAGAACCAUGACAGUAUUCUUGAGGUAGACCACUAUAAUUUUCACCCGAUCAUACCACCUUAUUCAUCUCAAAAAUGUAAUAUACAAACUAUGAGAUAUCAUAACAUCAUAACAUCAUAACAUAUUAUUAAAACUAUUUUCUAUACUAUCCUCGCAUCUCCCUCAAAAAAUUAAAGACCAAAAUUUUCCUUAACCUACUUUAAUUGGAUUAAAUAUUAUUAAUUUUAAAAGUAAAUUGUAAUUGCUGUAUACCCCCAUAAUAUUCCUUAUUCCACAAACUAACAUAUCUAAUUAAAUCUGAUCUUGCCUAAAUCGUAACCAACAAUCUGAAAAAAAAAUUAUUUCGAAUAUGCUAAUUUCAUAUAUUGUUCAAAUCUUUUUCUUAAUAAUAUAUUGUAGAUACGAUUUUAAGUUCCUAAAUCUACAAAUAUUUAAAUUGCUUCGUCUACAAGUUUAUCUAAUACCACAAUUAAUUAUUAUUUUCCUUAUACAUAUAUAAUUUUCGCUAACCUAUUUUAAUUGGAUUAACAUUAACUCUUUUAAAUUUAAAAGUUAGAUUCUAAUUGCUUGAUACUCGCAUAAUAUUCCUUAUCAUAUAACGAGCUUUUAAAUCUAAAAUAAAUAAAAAAAUAAACUUACAAUAGGUGAGUAAUAAAAAAUAAUAUUGUCAUAUCAAUUGAUUUUUUUUUAUUACUAUUUUUUUUUAUUUUCUUCGAAUGACAUGAUAAAAAAAGUUCAUCAAACUCUAAGGAAUCACAUGUUUAUUCAAUUUUAUGUAAUAUUAAUAAGUAUAUAAGUAAUUUAAUCAAAUAUUUUUAAAAAUGUUAUCAUAUUUUUAAGGAUUUAUCAGAUGACCAUGUAUAGCGCGUUAAUAGCAAAGUUUUUGGAUUUUUACCGUAUUUUUACCAUACUUUGUUUCAUUAAUACAAACCGGACUAUAUACGGGUCAAUGGAUCUAUCGGUUCGACCACAAGUCUGGAUCCGAUAUGAAAACACUAUUUGAAACUCAAAAAUUAUAAUAUAACAACUUUUAAAUUAUUUUUUUUUACUAAAAAGUUCUAAAUUCAUUCACAAUUUAUCAAAUGGUCAAUAAUAAAUACCCGCGUUUUCCAAGCGCGUGUCAAAAUCUAGGGUUCUUAUCAACAAAAUCCCAGUACAAUCACAAAAGAACAAAGCUUUUAUCUUUCGAUUCACAAAAAAGAUGCUUAAAUAGUUUUUACGUUUUUACCGACUUUUAUCAGAUUUUUAUAUAUAAGGCUUUAACAAAAUUCAGACCAGAUUUAUAUGAAUCACCUGAUUUACUUCUGAGACUGUAGGUUUGGUUCGGGUAUGAAAACACUGGUAUAACUAUUAAAUUUUUUACAAUAUAUAUACUAUUAGAUUAGCCCAAAAUCUGCCAAGUAAAAUUUUUGUCUCAUCAACUCAACAAAUAUAACUCCUACAAAAUACACACAAAAUGCAACGAUGACGUUGUAACAUAAGAAUACACAUAUAAAAUCUAAAAUAAACUAUUUGAUAAAUUAUAUAAUUUUAAACUAAAAUUCUUUUACUUUUUCGAUAUAAUAACACUUUAUAACUUAAUAAUAUACUUCAAAACAUCAAAACCAAAAUAAUAAUUCAUAUCAAACAGUAUUCUUAAUCGAAAAAAAUCCGCGCUUUUGAAGCGCGGGUCAAAAUCUAGUUAGUGUUAAAGGUUUGUUUAUUUUCAAAAUUUUAAUUUUGAUAUAUAUAUAUAUCCUUUUCGGAAAUAGUACUUGUAAACUAAAACGUUUAUCAAUUUCAAAUUCAUAAAUAAAAUAUAUGAACCAUAUAUUUUAUUUUCUUGAUCCUUCAAACCACCAUUUCAUUUGAAUCUCCAUGUGCAUAACUAUCUUCCACUCCUAGCAAGCAGAAGAUAGGCUGACAAAAAAAAAGCAAAGAGAAGAUAUAUAUAUAUAUAUAUAUAUAUAUAUGACAAAGUAAUAUCAAAAUGCUUGAAAAGAGGAAUGAUCAAGUGACAGGAUGGUGAGGUAGAGAACUCGUUAAUUUCUAGCUAUUUGUAAUAGUCUUCGGCGUAUUUGUGAUUUACUUCGUAUUUUACGGAUCCGAUUUGCUUUGCUUCACAAAAAUAUAAAUAUUCAGUUUUUCUGAUAUCCGAAUAUUCACGGAUAUUUAUGGAUACUUCAUCGACUAUGUUCAAUACAAGUAAAUUAAAAAAAAACACCCAUUUAUUUUUUAGAAAUACCUUUUAACAUAAUAAAAAUAUAAAUUAAAAAAUUAAUGAACUAUAUGUUUUAUAAAUUUUUAAAAUUAAUAAUUUUCUUCAAAACAAAUAUUUUUAUAAAAUUUGUAGUUUUGUAUAAAGAUUUUAUAUUUUUUUUUUAAUUUAAAACUUUUAUAAGCAACUUUAAAAAUAAAAUUUAAUAAAUUAUAUGUUAAAUAAUAAUUAUAUGAUAUUAUAUAUUUAAUCCUUUAUAUUUAAUUGUAGAUAUAUAUCUAUUUGUAUAAAAGUUGGAGCAGAUCGGAUAUCUGUCUCUAAAUGUUUUAGUAUUUGCCUUGCUUCGAAGACUUACGGAUAUCUGGAUUUUUCGGAUAGAAUCAAGGUGAAUAACUAAUAGAAUCAAAUUUAACAGAUAAAAUGCUCACCCUUAAUUUGUAAUAUAAAAUAUAAUAUAUGUAUACCCUCCGUUUCGAUUUAGUUGUCGUUGUAGGAAAAAAAAGUUGUUUCAAAAUAAGUGUCGUUUUAGAGUUUCAAUUUAAAAUUUGUUCAUAAGAUUCUCCAAUUUAUUUUUCUAUUGGUUAAAAUAUAUGAUACGCUCUAAAUUAGGGAAAGAUCACUCAGCCAGACUAAGGGGAUAUAAACUCACUAAAAGGGAGAACUGGUGGAUUGAAUGGUGACACAAGAGGUGCGGAAAGUCUCUUGAUACUACCAGACUUCUGUUGUUGCUUGAUGUGACGCACAAGUUCAACAAAAUAAGGGUUUCUAAAAGUUGCUUGAUAUGACGCACAAGUCCAACAAAAUAGAGAAUGUUUACUUAGAGAAAACUCAACAAGAAACAAGAAGUGUUCUACAAAGAACAAAGAGAAAAACUCAUAAAAGGGGAAAAAUCAUUGUCUUAUUCAUCGAAUGAGAUUACAUAUUUAUAGUAGAAAUGAUCAAAGAAAGACAUAAAGAAAUUAUGGAAAACUAGAAACUUAGAAAA